CACAAUAGUUAUUUAUGUUAGAUGAUAUAUUGUCCCAGCUGUUAGAGCUGACAUUGGGCGAGAGGCAGGGAACACCCUGGGCAGGUCACCAGGCUAUCAUACACACGUCAAUUAAGAGACACCAAUUAAACCUAAACUAAAUGUCUUUGGACUGUGGAUGGAAACAGAGAGAACGCUCAGAAGAGCCGCAAGCCGGAUUCGAACCAACAACCCUCUAGCUGUGAGGAUAACCACUAAGCACGACUACACCAUCGGAUAGGAAAACGUAAUACAUGUAUAUUACACAUAGUCAUACGUCAUCCUGUGCGCAGGCGUACUGUCAUAGUUUGCGUCUUGGAGCAAAUACCAGCCGUUGUGAGCUAGCUAACUUUAAUUUUACCAUUAAAUGUAGUAUUUUAGUUGCAUUUAGUGACAUUCGUGUGUAGAUGCGUCUGUUUGUUUAUUUGUCUGUCUGUCAGUUUAACUUACCGUUAGUUAAUGUUUGGUGGAACGUAACGUUAGUUACCUGGCUAACGUUAGCCUUAUUUGUUGCAUUGGCUAACUUUAAAUAAGAGUAUCAAUUUUCUAUUUUGUUGUUUCCUCAUCCUUAGUUUUGUGUUGUGUGUGUUUUUUUUUUUUUUACAAUGACAUUUGUGUGUACGGUGAACUGGUGCAAACCAACACAGUGGAUUUCAUGAAAUACCUUGGGCAACAACGGACUUUGGGCUGUCGACCAUCAGUGGUUGAACUUGGUUGAGCUGGAGGACAGACGACGACAGUGCGGCCACAUUUGUAUUUUAACCUUGGACUGUACUAAUGCAAUGGUAGUGGAGAUGGGAUAUCAGAGACGGCUGAAGUGGAGGAGGGACGCUGUCCCAGCCGCCAGCCUUGAUGAAUAGGUCACAUCGACUCACACCAAUUAACAUUUGGAAGCAGGAAGACACAUUGCAGCCAUGAUUUUUCUUCUACAACAUCCCCUCUGGCAGACCUCAAAGCUUCUGUUUCAUUAGGGAGAGAGAGAAAAGAGUGUCAGUAAAUCGAACCUAAACAGUGAUGUAAUUUAAAAAGAUUUGCGCAGGCUCUCUUAAUCGCUGGUUCACCACUUCUUGGCUUCCUGGCGAGACUGACUCUUUGUAGAAAUGGUAAGACUGUUUUUUUUUCUAUGAUUAUGAAUUCACAGCCUAUAAUCCUUCUAGAAUGGGUUGUACCUUUAUUACAAAUAGGCUUUACAGUCUCAUUUUUCACUGAUGUUCAGUGCUGACAUGUUUUAAGGAGAAUAUUCGUAGUCUGUGGGCCUUUGUUUCUGAUUGUAUUCGGCUCCAACAACCUUACAAUUUUCAAUCAGGUAGGGCAAAUUGUGUAGCUUUAGAGGCAAAACAAAAGGCUGAAAUGUCAAAAAUAAAUGAUACAUAUAUCUUGUGUUUUCUUACCAAAAGUAACACCUUUUUCUUUCUCCUCUGGGAAAGCUUGGGGGAAAGUCGCAUCAAAGGAUGAACUGAGUGAGACUGGAGGAACAAAGAGGAGAGUUAACUUAGAGAGGCAGAAAACCAGAAGUUUGUUUCAGAUUCAUCGGACAGAUAGCUUUGGCUUCUUUUGUGAAAAGAAAACUCAAUGUAAAAAUCAUUACAUUUUAGCCCCAGUAGUGAUAUUUGGUGUUCAAAUAACCUACAAAUGAAAUCUUUGCUUCCUCUGUGCAUCCAGGUAUUCAUUGUUCAGUGUUUAAAAAAAAGUUUGUAACCUUCAAGCAAAUGUUUAAUGUCCCCUUUCCAUUGACAUUUUAAACAACAAAUGAAAAAAACACAUUAAAUGAAUGCAAUAGCUCUUGAAAUUGACAUUUUUAGGACAUAAUGAAUGAAACGAUUACCACCAGUGGUUUGUUUCUUUCCCUGCUCACCUCUUGUUGUACAGCUCCAACAGAGUUGCGUGCUUUGGAGUAAUGAAACAGGAACUGGAAAUAAAAGGGGAGAAUCAGAAGAAAGGUGAACUCCUGCUGAAAAAAUUAUAUAGAUAUAUAUA